GAAAUGCGAUAAGUAAUGUGAAUUGCAGAAUUCAGUGAAUCAUCGAAUCUUUGAACGCACAUUGCGCCCCUUGGUAUUCCGGGGGGCAUGCCUGUUCGAGCGUCAUUAUAACCCUCAAGCCUAGCUUGGUGUUGGAGCAUGCUACCUAGCAGCUCUUAAAAUCAGUGGCAGUGCCCUCUGGCUCUAAGCGUAGUAACUUUUCUCGCUAUGGAACCCAGAGGGACCGCGCCAAAACCCCCAACUUCUAAUGAUUGACCUCGGAUCAGGUAGGGAUACCCGCUGAACUUAA
rnacentral:misc_RNA from 1 species